AGUAACCUCAUAGCAAUUUCCUGAUCCAAAGUAAACUCAAGCAUGAAAAAAUUGGUCAAGGAAAAGGGGAAUGUUCACUUGGGUGGGUAAGCUCUCAGAACGGGAAGUCAAGGGAGACAAGAGACGUGAGGGAGAGGCCCAGGGUGCCUCCUUCACACAGAGAGUUCUGGGGAUUCCUCAGAGACAAAUUCAUCUGACCAAGAAAUUUACCCUUGAGUCUUUGGCCUUUCCUUUUUCUUCUUUCUGACACCCUUUCUCUGGUUAACAUUUUCAGCGCGACUCAAGCCAAGUCAGCUAUUUAUAGAGCAAGAACAAUUUUACCACAGGGUAUGGUGUUUAAUUUGAAGAGACGUCAAAGAGUGAGGGGCAGAUGGCUGAGCAGGCAGUGCCUCUCAAUGACCUUGAUGGGGGCACCCAAGCCCACUGCCUCAUCCUGAGUUUUGCAGAUCCAGAAAUGUCAUCUGAUGAAUGAAAUCCUGAACUGACCAAGCUUUAAGAGGAAAAGGAUAAAUUGAUAAAGCAGGACAUCAUUUUUUCCCUACUUUUGAACUUGAACUGAAACAUUGGCCCUUUCUGCAUCUCCAGUCUCUGGUCUUCAAAAUGGGCUACACCGUGGGCCCUCCUGGGUCUCCAGCUUGCUGACUGCAGAUCUUGGGAUUUAUCAGCCUCCAUAACCAUGUGAGCGCAUGGCAAGAAGGUGACCAUCCACAAGCCAGGAGGAAGGCCCUCACCAAGAACCAAAUUCGCUGCCACCAUGAUCUUGGACUUUUCACCCUCUAGAACUAUGAGAAAUAAAUGUCUGUUAUUUAAGUUUA